CAAUAGCGUAUAUUAAAGUUGUUGCAGUUAAAAAGCUCGUAGUUGGAUAUCUGGGUUGAGCGCCGGGUCCGCCGCUGUGCGGUGUGUACUUGCGUGGCUCGACUCAUCCUUGCGGGGAAGCUGUUUGGCAUUAGUUUGUCGAGCAGGGGAUCCGCAUCGUUUACUGUGAAAAAAUUAGAGUGUUUAAAGCAGGCAGCUUGCUGUGAAUACAUUAGCAUGGAAUAAUAAGAUAGGACUUUGGUUCUAUUUUGUUGGUUGGAGGCCAAGGUAAUGAUUAAUAGGGACAGUUGGGGGUAUUCAUAUUUAAUUGUCAGAGGUGAAAUUCUUGGAUUUAUGAAAGAUGAACUUAUGCGAAAGCAUUUACCAAGGAUGUUUUCAUUAAUCAAGAACGAAAGUUAGGGGAUCGAAGAUGAUUAGAUACCAU
rnacentral:rRNA from 1 species